GCAAAAGGAAGCUACUGGAGUUUACUGAAUGGGGGGUGAUGCGAUUAGAUCUGUACUUUAGGAAAACCACUUUUCAAUGACUGAAUGGAGGACAAAUUAAAGUAGGAAGAGACUUGAGAUGAGAAAGCUAUACCAGGACUGAUAGAUGCUACUGUGCCAAAAAAAAACAAAACAAAACAAAAAAACCCCAAAAAAACAACUAACUAAUAAAAAUCACAAACUUUUCACAUGGUCCAAAGAAAAUGUCUGGCAGGAAAACAUGUUAUGAGAAAAAUCCCUAAACAAGGAAGAUAAGAAACCCACAAAGAACAUUUUUUAGCUCUAUUGGGAGGCAAAUCAUGAUCCAAGAAAGAAUAAGACCUUGAAUUGGUGAAUAUGGGAUGAUCAAAACUGACAACAGAGGAAAGACACAGUUGCUCAAUUCUUUUAUUUCUGUUUUCUCUGCCAAGAAGAAUAUGACCAUUACACUGUAAAUGACAGAACAAGAAUGACCAAUAAGAAAUGGAAGAUUAAGGGGCUGGAACCUGUUACACAUAGCCAGUCAGAAUCAUAUAUACAAGAACUCCACCUGAGCCUGGAAAAGACAGAGACUAAAAUUGGGAGGCAGGAUUUGCUUGUUGAUGGAAUCAUGAAUAGAGAUAUGAAUAUAGAAAUUCAAAGUAAAAAUCUACAGAAAUUAAGAAAAGAAAUCUUCAGUCAUCAAGCCAAUGGAGAGAGCAGGAUACAAGAUUUUCUGGUUGGGUCAGUAUUCUGGAUUUGCUAAAUGGGAGCAGAAUCUGAAAUGAGAGCCAAAGUAUCAGGACAGUCACAAGAUCAGGGGAAAG
rnacentral:lncRNA from 1 species